ACGCUCGACACCUACGGGAGACAGCAGUGGGGAAUAUUGGGCAAUGGGCGCAAGCCUGACCCAGCAACGCCGCGUGAAGGAAGAAGGCUUUCGGGUUGUAAACUUCUUUUGUCAGGGAACAGUAGAAGAGGGUACCUGACGAAUAAGCCACGGCUAACUACGUGCCAGCAGCCGCGGUAAUCUGAGCGGGCUGGCAAGGC
rnacentral:rRNA from 1 species